UCCUGGUGGCUCAGAUGGUAAAGAGUCUGCCUGCAAUGCAGAAGACCCAGGUUCAAUCCCUGGGUUGGGAA
rnacentral:tRNA from 1 species